UACGUAGGGUGCGAGCGUUGUCCGGAAUUAUUGGGCGUAAAGAGCUCGUAGGCGGUCUGUCACGUCGGGAGUGAAAACACGGGGCUUAACCCCGUGCCUGCUUCCGAUACGGGCAGACUAGAGGUAUGCAGGGGAGAACGGAAUUCCUGGUGUAGCGGUGAAAUGCGCAGAUAUCAGGAGGAACACCGGUGGCGAAGGCGGUUCUCUGGGCAUUACCUGACGCUGAGGAGCGAAAGUGUGGGGAGCGAACAGG
rnacentral:rRNA from 1 species